UUUCUGGAGAUCUGUCCUUGGUGAAGCUUUCCCCAGUAAGCCUGGAAUCUUCUGAUACAGCAUCUGCCUGCAUGUUGGACAUUCACAGGAUGACAUUUGGAAGACCUUGCUGCAGGGUUUUGUCUGAUAUUUAAGUUUGCAGUCUUCUAAGGCUCUACUCUAGGUGAAUGAGUAAAAAGACAAUCAACAUGAAAAAGAGAGGAGGAAGCAAGGCCAUGAGAAGCUUCUGAAAACAUGUGAAUAGGGAAUGUUACACCACUGAAUUUGUGCUGCUGCUGCUCCCAUCAUGGAAUCAUUUGUGUGACUCCCAAGAGGAGGUGUUAUCUGGGCAAUUCAUUUAGAGGAGAGGGUCAUAAAGCAGUUGUUUUCCACAUAUGUUAGAGUUCAUUUGUUUGCUUGUUUGUUUAAAUGUAGGUUACAUGCCUAACCUAAAUGCAUCUUCCUUCUUAAAAACAGACUUUUUUUCCUGAAAAGCUGCUAUCUGCCCAAUCUAACAAAGAUUGGAUGCAUUUAUAAUUACUUUCUACAUUGAAAAUGUUAAUUGCAGUCAUGUAAUUAGCAAAGCUAUUAGUUUGGUGUUAGUGGGAAGGAAUUAUGUUAAUAGGAUAUUCACCUUUCAUCUUCCAAUAGAACUCUCUUCUGAUGAAGGCAUUGUAUUCUUGUUCUUUGCAAACACUGUCACCCCCAAGAUAUCAAAAGUGGCUUCUAAUUCUAUCUAGAGCUUGC
ensembl:lncRNA